ensembl:lncRNA
GAUGGGAUGGGAUGGGAUGGGAUGGGAUGGGAUGGGAUGGGAUGGGAUGGGAUGGGAUGGGAUGGGAGCAGUGGCUGUGGAUAUCUUCACAGCCCAGCAGCUCCCGCUGUGCCCCAAAUCCCCCGUGGAGCCCGGAGGUGGCAGAGCAGCAUUAGGAGGCGGCCGAUCCCGGCUCUGGGGACAAAUCCCACACACGGCCCCAAAGCACUGCGGCUCUCCCAGCCCGACCCCAUCUGGCAGCCGGGCCUUACGGGGUUCACGGCUCAUUGAGUUCGCAGCCAGCCCUGCUACUGAGCCGGCACGCAUGGGGUGCGCUGACCCCAUAACUGGGCUGACCCCAUAACUGGGCUGACCCCAUAACUGCGCUGACCCCAUAGCUGGGCUAACCCCAUAACUGGGCUAACCCCAUAACUGGGCUAAUCCCAUAGCUGGGCUGAUCUCAUGGCUGACCCCAUAACGGGGCUGACCCCAUAACUGGGCUGACCCCAUAGAUGGGCUGACCCUAUGGGUGGGCUGACCCCAUAGCUCUGCUGACCCCAUAGCUGGGCUGACCCCAUAGCAAAUAUCGCAGCUCCAUGCAUUGCAUCUCUGCCCAUUGCACCUCCAUGCAUUGCACUCCUAUCAGUUGCACCUCCGUCCUUUGCACCUCCACUCACUGCAUCCCAGCACGUUGCACCUUUGCACACUGCACCCCCAUCCAUUGCACUUCCAUCUUUGCACCUCCACUCGUUGCACCUCCAUCCUCUCCAUGUUGCACCACUGUACAUUGCACCACCACACCUUGCAUCCCAGCACGUUGCACCUUUGCACAUUGCACCUCCAUCUGUUGCACCUCCAUCCAUUGCACCUCUAUUUUUGCACCUCCAUCCAUUGCACCCCCAUCCAUUGCACCUCCACCUUUGCACCCCAUGCACUGCACCUCUGCACUUUGCACCUCCGUGCAUUGCACCCCUAUCUGCUGCACCUCCAUGCAUUGCACCCCCACUCAUUGCAUCCCAGCACGUUGCACCUUUGCACACCUCACCUCCAUGCAUUGCACCUCCAUCUUUGCACCUCCAUCCAUUGCACUUCCAUCUUUGCACCUUCAUCCAUUGCACCUCCAUGCAUUGCACCUCCACCUUUGCACCUCCAUGCACUGCUCCUCUGCACACUGCACCUCCGUGCAUUGCACCCCUGUCUGUUGCACCCCCCCUGCAUUGCACCUCCACUCAUUGCAUCCCAGCACGUUGCACCUUUGCACAUUGCACCUCCAUGCAUUGCAUGUGCAUCCACUGCACCUCUGCACGUUNNNNNNNNNNNNNNNNNNNNNNNNNNNNNNNNNNNNNNNNNNNNNNNNNNNNNNNNNNNNNNNNNNNNNNNNNNNNNNNNNNNNNNNNNNNNNNNNNNNNNNNNNNNNNNNNNNNNNNNNNNNNNNNNNNNNNNNNNNNNNNNNNNNNNNNNNNNCCGCGAUCCAUCAGCGCCCACAGGAGGCGGCGCGGCGCCUCCGCAGCUCCACAAAUAGAAGCGAAGCUUUGCAACGGGAACGAACGGCCGUGCAAAGCCGUGCAAAGCCGUGCAACGCCGUGCAACGCCGUGCAACGCCGUGCAAAGCCGUGCGACCCCCUUUGCACACAGCAAAACCCGUGGGCAGCUGCAAACUGACCCCGAGCCAAAGGGUUUUGCAAAACCCGCCCAGCCCACGUGCAAGAGCCGAAGCCACGUGCAAAGCCGGAGCACGCGGUGCAAUGGGCGGCGUGCACGUGCAGCGCCCGGGUGGGCGUGCAAACGGCAAAGCCACGUGCAAGCUCCGCACGCGAAAAAAACACACGCGCGCACACGGAGCACGUUGCAAACGUGCUGCAGGACGCACGGGGGAAAUGCGAACUGCAAAUGCACGUGCACGCUCUGCAGGCUGCAAGUGCAACUGCAAACCACAAAGCCAGGUGCAAAACCGGAGCUCGGGUUGCAAACACCCUGCAGACCCCAAACGCAGCUGCAAACCCCAAGCAUGCAUUGCAAUCAUUGUGCAAAACCCAAAGAGCAGCUGCAAACCCCAAACCCAGUUGCAAACCCAGAGCUCAGGUUGCAAACACCCUGCAGACCCCAGAAUGCAGCUGCAAACCCCAAACCCAGUUGCAAACAUUGCAAACACCCUGCAGACCCCAAAUUGCACCUACAAACCCCAAACCCAGGUGCAAAUUCCAAGCAUGCAUUUGCAAACAGUGUGCAAAACCCAAAUUGCAGCUGCAAACCCCAAACCCAGUUGCAAGCAUUGCAAACACCUGCAGACCCCAAAUUCCACCUGCAAACCCCAAACCCAGCUGCAAAUCCCAAGCAUGCACUGCAAACACUGUGCAAAACCCAAAGAGCAGCUGCAAACCCCAAACCCAGGUGCAAACCCAGAGCUCAGGUUCCAAACACCCUGCAGAUCCCAGAAUGCAGCUGCAAACCCCAAACCCAGGUGCAAACAUUGCAAACACCCUGCAGACCCCAAACGCAGCUGCAAAGCCCAAACCCAGGAGCAAAUCCCAAGCAUGCAUUGCAAACACUGUGCAAAACUCACAGAGCACCUGCAAACCCCAAAACCAUUUGCAAACCCAGAGCUCAGGUUGCAAACACCCUGCAGACCCCAAAAUGCAGCUGCAAACCCCAAACCCAGCUGCAAACCCUGCAAGCACCCUGCAGACCCCAAAUGCAUCUACAAACCCCAAACCCAGGAGCAAAUCCCAAGCAUGCAUUGCAAACACUGUGCAAAACCCAAAGAGCAGCUGCAAACCCCAAACCCAUCUGCAAACCUGGAGCUCAAUUUGCAAACACCCUGCGGACCCCAAAAUGCAGCUGCAAACCCCAAACCCAGGUGCAAAUCCCAAGCAUGCAUUUGCAAACACUCUGCAAAACCCAAAGAGCAGCUGAAAACCCCAAAAUGCAGCAGCAAACCCAGAGCUCAGGUUGCAAACACCUUGCAGACCCCAAAAUGCAGCUGCAAACCCCAAACCCAGGUGCAAACAUUGCAAACACCUGCAGACCCCAAACGCACCUGCAAACCCCAAACCCAGCUGCAAAUCCCAAGCAUGCAUUGCAAACACUGUGCAAAACCCAAAGAGCACCUGCAAACCCCAAAAUGCAGCAGCAAACCCAGAGCUCAGGUUGCAAACACCCUGCAAACCCAAAAUGCAGCUGCAAACCCCAAACCCAGUUGCAAACCCUGCAAGCACCCUGCAGACCCCAAAUGCAUCUACAAACCCCAAACCCAGGUGCAAAUCCCAAGCAUGCAUUGCAAACACUGUGCAAAACCCAAAGAGCAGCUGCAAACCCCAAACCCAGCUGCAAACCUGGAGCUCGGGUUGCAAACAACCUGCAAACCCCAAAAUGCAGCUGCAAACCCCAAACCCAUUUGCAACCCCCCCCC